CGCUGGCGGCACGCCUAAUACAUGCAAGUCGAACGAAGUAGCAAUACUUAGUGGCAGACGGGUGAGUAACAUGUGGGUAUCUUCCCUUUGGUGAGGAAUAACACGAGGAAACUUGUGCUAAUACCUCAUAAGUCUUUACGGAGAAAGCUUUAUGCGCCGAUGGAUGAGCCCGCACUUGAUUAGUUUGUUGGUGGGGUAAUAGCCUACCAAGACUAUGAUCAAUAGCUGAUUUGAGAGGAUGAUCAGCCACAUUGGGACUGAGACACGGCCCAAACUCCUACGGGAGGCAGCAGUAGGGAAUCUUGCACAAUGGAGGAAACUCUGAUGCAGCGAUGCCGCGUGAGUGAAGAAGGCCCUUGGGUUGUAAAGCUCUUUCGUCGGGGAAGAAAAUGACUGUACCCGAAUAAGAAGGUCCGGCUAACUUCGUGCCAGCAGCCGCGGUAAUACGAAGGGACCUAGCGUAGUUCGGAAUUACUGGGCUUAAAGAGUUCGUAGGUGGUUAAAAAAGUUGGUGGUGAAAGCCCAGAGCUUAACUCUGGAACGGCCAUCAAAACUUUUUAGCUAGAGUAUGAUAGAGGAAAGCAGAAUUUCUAGUGUAGAGGUGAAAUUCGUAGAUAUUAGAAAGAAUACCGAUUGCGAAGGCAGCUUUCUGGAUCAUUACUGACACUGAGGAACGAAAGCAUGGGUAGCGAAGAGGAUUAGAUACCCUCGUAGUCCAUGCCGUAAACGAUGUGUGUUAGAUGUUGGAAAUUUAUUUUCAGUAUCGCAGCGAAAGCAAUAAACACACCGCCUGGGGAGUACGACC
rnacentral:rRNA from 1 species